rnacentral:miRNA from 1 species
UAGUUCAACUCCAUACAGAAUUG